UCUUCCGCAAUGGACGAAAGUCUGACGGAGCAACGCCGCGUGAGUGAAGAAGGCCUUCGGGUCGUAAAACUCUGUUAUCAGGGAAGAACAAGCAUCGUUUAACUGACGGUGCCAUGAUGGUACCUGACCAGAAAGCCACGGCUAACUACGUGCCAGCAGCCGUGGUAAUACGUAGGUGGCAAGCGUCGUCCGGAAUUAUUGGGCGUAAAGCGCGCGCAGGCGGCUUCUUAAGUCUGAUGUGAAAGCCCACGGCUCAACCGUGGAGGGUCAUUGGAAACUGGGAGGCUUGAGUGCAGAAGAGGGGAGCGGAAUUCCACGUGUAGCGGUGAAAUGCGUAGAGAUGUGGAGGAACACCAGUGGCGAAGGCGGCUCUCUGGUCUGUAACUGACGCUGAGGCGCGAAAGCGUGGGUAGCGAACAGG
rnacentral:rRNA from 1 species